CAUGCUAGAGCACUUUUUCAAUGUGCUCCCCAACGAGAAGGCGACGAUGCAUCCGUAUGUCAAUCCAUACCAACUUUCGAUGCCAUUGACUCCACCUGCCAUGGUGACCACGGGUAACAGGGAAUCAGGGUUUGAUUCCGUACAGGGACCCUGACAUAUGGCUACUACAUGCAAGGAAGGCAG